GAUUACUGUUGGGGACACAAAUUCUUAAGGACUCUGCUCCAGUGUGUAAAACAAAUUAUUCUGAAAUGAUAUUAGGCUAGUCCACUAAUGUGCAGAGACUAUGGCAUUUAUGUUGCUGAAUCUCUUUGCUCCUGCCUUCCUGUGUCUUCUGAAAGCUGGGAGUAUCAGAGUUUUCCCAGAUGGAUCCACUGUAACAUUUGAGCGCAAGAUUG